rnacentral:rRNA from 1 species
AGUGAACGCUGGCGGUAGGCCUAACACAUGCAAGUCGAACGGCAGCACAGUAAGAGCUUGCUCUUACGGGUGGCGAGUGGCGGACGGGUGAGGAAUACAUCGGAAUCUACUUUUUCGUGGGGGAUAACGUAGGGAAACCUACGCUAAUACCGCAUACGACCUACGGGUGAAAGCAGGGGAUCUUCGGACCUUGCGCGAUUGAAUGAGCCGAUGUCGGAUUAGCUAGUUGGCGGGGUAAAGGCCCACCAAGGCGACGAUCCGUAGCUGGUCUGAGAGGAUGAUCAGCCACACUGGAACUGAGACACGGUCCAGACUCCUACGAGAGGCAGCAGUGGGGAAUAUUGGACAAUGGGCGCAAGCCUGAUCCAGCCAUACCGCGUGGGUGAAGAAGGCCUUCGGGUUGUAAAGCCCUUUUGUUGGGAAAGAAAAGCAGCAGGUUAAUACCCCGCUGUUCUGACGGUACCCAAAGAAUAAGCACCGGCUAACUUCGUG